GAAAUGCGAUAAGUAAUGCGAAUUGCAGAAUCCGUGAGUCAUCGAAUCUUUGAACGCACAUUGCGCCCCCCGGUAUUCCGAGGGGCACGCCUGUCCGAGCGCCAUCACACCCCCCACGCACCGCGUGAUGUUGGGCGACGCGGGAGACCGCACGCCUGGAACCCAUAGGCGGCCGCCCCGGCCCUGCGAGCGUAGCAAGACGGAUCCCCAUGGGGAACCUAGCGCGCGCAGGCCGCGGGCGGCUCGGCCCUCAGUUGCGGCGCAUGCGCCCACCAGUUUUGGCCUCGGAUCAGGCGGGGAUACCCGCUGAACUUAAGC
rnacentral:misc_RNA from 1 species